AGUGGGGGGGAGUGAUUUGCAACACAAUGGAGCGAGGAAGGGAUCGCUUACACUUGAGAAGAACUACUGAACAGCACGUGCCAGAGGUCGAGGUCCAGGUCAAACGUAGAAGGACAGCCUCACUGAGCAACCAAGAGUGUCACUUGUACCCACAACGUUCUCAGCAACAGCAAGUUCCUGUGGUGGAUUUCCAGGCAGAACUAAGACAGGCAUUCUUAGCUGAGACACCAAGAGGUGGUUAAAGCAGUAUUGCAACUUCAAGGUGGUAGAAUUCAAGGAGAACAGGACCCAUCCACUGUUUGUGAAACUUUGGUCAAGCUUACCCUGUUUGUUAAUAGCCUGCAUCCAAACCUUUAUUUAUAGCCCUUCCCCAAGUAUUAAGGAUCUUGAAAUUUUAGUGUUAACAAUGGCUAUUGUGGAACAGCAAUCAUGACAGUGGGUAAGAGUAGCAAGAUGCUGCAGCACAUUGACUAUAGAAUGAGAUGUAUCCUGCAAGAUGGGAGAAUCUUCAUUGGCACCUUUAAGGCUUUUGACAAGCAUAUGAAUUUGAUCCUCUGUGAUUGUGAUGAGUUCAGGAAGAUCAAGCCAAAGAAUGCAAAACAGUCAGAACGUGAAGAAAAACGGGUUUUGGGUCUGGUCUUGCUACGAGGGGAGAACUUGGUUUCCAUGACUGUGGAGGGUCCACCUCCUAAAGAUACUGGCAUUGCUCGUGUGCCUCUUGCUGGCGCUGCAGGUGGCCCUGGGGUUGGAAGAGCAGCUGGCAGAGGAGUACCAGCAGGUGUACCUAUUCCCCAAGCUCCUGCUGGAUUAGCAGGCCCUGUCAGAGGUGUUGGAGGCCCAUCCCAGCAGGUCAUGACCCCACAGGGAAGAGGCACUGUUGCAGCUGCUGCUACUGCUAGCAUUGCAGGAGCCCCAACCCAGUACCCACCAGGACGGGGAACUCCACCUCCACCUGUAGGCAGAGCAACCCCACCUCCAGGCAUUAUGGCUCCUCCACCUGGUAUGAGACCACCCAUGGGUCCACCCAUUGGGCUUCCCCCUGCUCGAGGGACACCUAUAGGCAUGCCCCGUCCAGGAAUGAGACCCCCUCCACCAGGAAUUAGAGGCCCACCUCCCCCAGGAAUGCGUCCACCAAGACCCUAAGAUACAGUUGAUAAAUCUCAGCCCUUCUCUUCCCCUAAAGUGCUUCUUGUGAAAUUGUGUACCUGCAAGCGUUUUGACCCCUUUUACUGCAUUAACUAUAGAUAAUAAAUACAUAGAGCAA